rnacentral:rRNA from 1 species
GACGAACGCUGGCGGCGUGCUUAACACAUGCAAGUCGAACGGAGUGGCGAACGGGUGAGUAACACGUGGGUGAUCUGCCUUGGACUUCGGGAUAAGCCUGGGAAACUGGGGCUAAUACCGGUUAGUGUAAGAUGAGCUCGCGGCCAAUCAGCUUGUUGGUGGGGUAAUGGCCUACCAAGGCGACGACGGGUAGCCGGCCUGAGAGGGUGGACGGCGACAUUGGGACUGAGAUACGGACCAGAGUCGUACGGGGGGCAGUAGUGGGGAAUAUUGCACAAUGGGCGGAAGCCUGAUGCAGCGACGCCGCGUGGGGGAUGAAGGCCUUGGGGUUGUAAAGUCCUUUAGACAGGGACGCGGUACCUGUAUAAGAAGCACCGGCUAACUACGUGCCAGCAGCCGCGGUAAUUC